UAAACUAGGAUUAGAUACCCUAUUAUUUUAAAUUUAAAUUUGAAAUACUAAAUUAGUAAUAGUUAUUUUCUUGAAAAUUAAAAAAUUUGGCGGUAUUUUAGUCUUUUCAGAGGAACCUGCCCUGUAAUUGAUAGUCCACGAUAAGAUUUACUUUAUUUUUUAGCUUAUAUAUCGUCGUAGUUUAAAUAUUUUAAGAGAAGUUUAAUAUUUGAAAUUUUUAAUUAAAAAAUAAAUCAGAUCAAGGUGUAGUUUAUAAUAAAGAAGAGGUGGGUUACAUUUAAUUUAUUAAAGGAUAAUUUUUAUUAAGAAAGUUUGAAUGUGGAUUUGAUAGUAAUUUUAAAUAUUUAUUUAUAAUGAUUAUAGCUCUAAAAUAUGCACACAUCGCCCGUCGCUCUUAA
rnacentral:rRNA from 1 species